CCACUAUUUUCCAAACAAAUGUCAAGGGAAUUAAAUACAAAAGAUAACAGAAUAAUAAUUUGUAAACAGACAUCAUAUUCAGACCACUAUUUCCCCCUUCUUCUUAUUUCCUAUUCCUCUCACAUUCCCAUCGUUUCAAUUUUCCUCCAAUGUUUCUAGCAUAUCUCCUCUGUCCUCUCCUCAUAGCUGUCCACACAAUAAUUCCAUCAUUUCGUCCGAUCUUCUGUUUGUCCUUAGAUCUCACUCUCCAUGUUUUUUAUUUUUACUCCUGGUUCUAAUAUGAUUUCAAAAAAAUAUCCCUAUUCCCAAAUCAACUCAUUUCUUUCCAAAAAAUAUCUCAAAGAAUUUAGAAGAUUCUACUCAAGUGGUGAGAGUCAAAUUUCACUUACCUUUGUUCUCAGUGACUGCAUUAAUCUGAUUAACGGAUUCCUCCCAUGUUCUGCUCCUGAUUCCACCACUAGCUGAUUAAUCUGAUUGAAGAAUCACAUAAAAUCUUCCUUUCAGUUUACCCUUGCUGCGAAUUUUCUUCCUCUCCCUCUUCCCCUGCAGCCUGACGUCCUCUUUUAAAGUGAAGGAGGAACCAUCAGAAUCGUUGAGGAUGGCAACGAAAUCCCUAAAUUAAAUAGAGGUUACAAAAUAGUUUUUGAUAAUUGAGGCAUAAUCAAUAUUUUUACUUUUAAUAAUUAAGGUAGGAACUAAUAACAUCUUCU
rnacentral:lncRNA from 1 species